rnacentral:rRNA from 1 species
GACGAACGCUGGCGGCGUGCUUAACACAUGCAAGUCGAACGGAAAGGCCCUGCUUUUGUGGGGUGCUCGAGUGGCGAACGGGCGAGUAACACGUGAGUAACCUGCCCUUGACUUUGGGAUAACUUCAGGAAACUGGGGCUAAUACCGGAUAGGAGCUCCUGCUGCAUGGUGGGGGUUGGAAAGUUUCGGCGGUUGGGGAUGGACUCGCGGCUUAUCAGCUUGUUGGUGGGGUAGUGGCUUACCAAGGCUUUGACGGGUAGCCGGCCUGAGAGGGUGACCGGCCACAUUGGGACUGAGAUACGGCCCAGACUCCUACGGGAGGCAGCAGUGGGGAAUAUUGCACAAUGGGCGGAAGCCUGAUGCAGCAACGCCGCGUGCGGGAUGACGGCCUUCGGGUUGUAAACCGCUUUCGCCUGUGACGAAGCGUGAGUGACGGUAACGGGUAAAGAAGCACCGGCUAACUACGUG